GCCUGCGUCAUCAAGAAAUGCACUGGCAUAACCUAGGAGUCGGACAAUCAUCUCAAGCUUUGUUCCACUCCAGGCAAAACUAUGCAAAACUUCUAAUGACACACCAAAUCCAAUCUAUUUAACAUUACAGUAUCCAUUGUUGUAUCUAAAUAAGCAUUCGUUGUACAAGGAUACUGAACCCCUGAAUAGAACCAAAUGGAUAUUACACGGGAAAGUAUACUACAACAUGUGGACACGAAUUGUGACCACAUGUGCUGGAACAGGAUACACAAUGGAAUAAAAACUUUGAGGGGCCAAAAAAGGCCCUAAAGAUCACACAGAUUCUCCAGAACAAAACCUUGUAGAUGACAUACCAAAUUUACAAUAGCAUUCUGGAUGAAGGGGCAGACAAUCACGGCACAUACCCAAUAUCCUUGAAGUACUCAUGCUCAAGG
rnacentral:misc_RNA from 1 species